UUUGUUAAGUCAGAUGUGAAAGCCCGGGGCUCAACCUCGGAACGCAUUGAAACUGGCAGGCUAGAGUCUUGUAGAGGGGGGUAGAAUUUCAGGUGUAGCGGUGAAAUGCGUAGAGAUCUGAAGGAAUACCAGUGGCGAAGGCGGCCCCCUGGACAAAGACUGACGCUCAGAUGCGAAAGCGUGGGUAGCAAACAGGAUUAGAUACCCUGGUAGUCCACGCCGUAAACGCUGUCUACUUGGAGGUUGAGGUUUUAGACUUUGGCUUUCGGCGCUAACGCAUUAAGUAGACCGCCUGGGGAGUACGGCCGCAAGGUUAAAACUCAAAUGAAUUGACGGGGGCCCGCACAAGCGGUGGAGCAUGUGGUUUAAUUCGAUGCAACGCGAAGAACCUUACCUACUCUUGACAUCCAGAGAACUUUCCAGAGAUGGAUUGGUGCCUUCGGGAGCUCUGAGACAGGUGCUGCAUGGCUGUCGUCAGCUCGUGUUGUGAAAUGUUGGGUUAAGUCCCGCAACGAGCGCAACCCUUAUCCUUGUUUGCCAGCACAUAAUGGUGGGAACUCCAGGGAGACUGCCGGUGAUAAACCGGAGGAAGGUGGGGACGACGUCAAGUCAUCAUGGCCCUUACGAGUAGGGCUACACACGUGCUACAAUGGCAGAUACAGAGGGCAGCGAAGCUGCGAAGUAGAGCGAAUCCCUUAAGGUUUGUCGUAGUCCGGAUUGGAGUCUGCAACUCGACUCCAUGAAGUCGGAAUCGCUAGUAAUCGUGGAUCAGAAUGCCACGGUGAAUACGUUCCCGGGCCUUGCACACACCGCCCG
rnacentral:rRNA from 1 species